rnacentral:rRNA from 1 species
CACCGCGGUUAUACGAGGGGCCCAAGUUGACAGACACCGGCGUAAAACGUGGCUAAAUUUAUUACACACUAAAGCCAAACAUCUUCAAAGCUGUGAUACGCAACCGAAGGCAGGAAGUUCAACCACGAAGGUGGCUUUAUUUUAUCUGAACCCACGAAAGCUAGGAAA